CUCGGACUGGAUGCCAGCAGCAAAAACCAUACAUCAUUAGCAGUGCUGAGGAGGUCUGCAGUAUACUUGUGCCGUACUGCUUUAAAAACACCAUGAAACUGAUGGGCUCAAAAACACUGAUAAAAUCUGGACAGCAACUGAAGUAUAACUGUUUGCACAGCACUUACUCUGGUGAGCUGAAGACAUUUUUAGCCGUUUGAUGCAACUUGUACCCGUCAGUGAACGUCUACAAUUGAUUGAGCUGUGUGAAUCUCUCUCUUCAUCGUCCCAACAUGUGUUACAGAGAUGUUCUACUGCAGGAAGAAUUUCUUGCUUUCUCUCUCUGACCAGCAGACAUUCACAACAGUUUCAAUGAUGAAACAAAUACUAUGUUAUAUAAAAUACGGACAAAAAAAAAAGAGAGCACUUGGGAGGGGUUACGACUUUGUGUUAGGUUGUGCAGACUGCAAGCUGUUCCACAUAUACUUUGGCCCCAAGACAUAAGGCAAAAGCAGUGCACAAAAAUGA